AAAUGCAGUCGAACGAGAAACCCUUCGGGGUGAGUACAGUGGCGAACGGGUGAGUAACACGUGGGUAACCUGCCCCUCGCAGGGGGACAACCGGGGGAAACUCCGGCUAAUACCCCGUACGCUUGCCGGGUCGCAUGGCCUAGCAAGGAGAGGUAGCUUCGGCCAUCCGGCGAGGGAGGGGCCCGCGGUCCAUUAGCUAGUUGGUGGGGUAAAGGCUCACCAAGGCGACGAUGGAUAGCUGGUCUGAGAGGAUGAUCAGCCACACUGGGACUGAGACACGGCCCAGACUCCUACGGGAGGCAGCAGUCGGGAAUCUUGCGCAAUGGGCGAAAGCCUGACGCAGCAACACCGUGUGGGCGACGAAGGCCUUCGGGUCGUAAAGCCCUGUUGUUGGGGACGAAGGGCGAAGGGUUAAUAGCCCCUAGCUUGACGGUACCCUUCGAGGAAGCCCCGGCUAACUACGUGCCAGCAGCCGCGGUGAUACGUAGGGGGGCGAGCGUUGUCCGGAAUUAUUGGGCGUAAAGAGCGUGUAGGCGGUUUGGUAAGUCUGCCGUGAAAACCCGGGGCUCAACCCCGGGCGUGCGGUGGAUACUGCCAGGCUAGAGGAUGGUAGAGGCGAGUGGAAUUCCCGGUGUAGCGGUGAAAUGCGCAGAUAUCGGGAGGAACACCAGUAGCGAAGGCGGCUCGCUGGGCCAUUCCUGACGCUGAGACGCGAAAGCUAGGGGAGCGAACAGGAUUAGAUACCCUGGUAGUCCUAGCCGUAAACGAUGAACACUAGGUGUGGGGGGAGUCGAAUCCCUCUGUGCCGCANCCAACGCGAUAAGUGUUCCNCCUGGGGAGUACGGCCCCNAGGCUNAAACUCAAAAGAAUUGACGGGGGCCCNCACAAGCAGCGNAACAUGUUCUUUUAUUC
rnacentral:rRNA from 1 species